rnacentral:rRNA from 1 species
UACAGAGGGGGCAAGCGUUGUUCGGAAUUACUGGGCGUAAAGGGCGCGUAGGCGGCCUGUUAAGUCGAACGUGAAAUCCCCGGGCUCAACCCGGGAACUGCGUCCGAUACUGGCAGGCUUGAAUCCGGGAGAGGGAUGCGGAAUUCCAGGUGUAGCGGUGAAAUGCGUAGAUAUCGGGAGGAACACCAAUGGCGAAGGCAGCUCGCUGGGACGGUACUGACGCUGAGACGCGAAAGCGUGGGGAGCAAACAGG